rnacentral:tRNA from 1 species
GUCUUCGUAGUUAAAUGGACAUAACAAGCUUCUCCUAAAAGCUAAUUACAGGUUCGAUUCCUGUCGAAGACA